rnacentral:lncRNA from 1 species
AUGCAUAUGCUCAGGCUUCAGAGGAAGUUUUCCUCUAAUGUCUUUUGCUGUGGCAAAAAGAAGGUCUGGUUGGCUCCCAGAGACCAAUGUUAACUCCCAUCAGCAAAUCCAGAAGCUGAUCAAACAUGGGCUGAUCAUCCGCAAGCCUGUGCCUGUCCAUUCCCAGGCUCCUUGAUGCCAGAAAACCUUGGACCAUCGGAAGGGCAGGCACCUGGGCAUAGGUAAGCAAGAAGGUACAGCCAAUGCCCAAAGGCCAGGGAAGGUAACCUGGAUAAGGAGAAUGAGGAUUCUGUGCCAGCUUCUUAGAAGAUACUGUGAAUCUAAGAAGACUGAUUGCCACAUGUAUUACACUCUGUACCAGAAGGUGAAAGGGAUUGUGUUCAAAAACAAGCGUAUUCUCAUGGAAUUGUCCGCAAGCUGAAGGUAGACAAGUCCCGCAAGAAGCUCCUGGUGGACCAGGCUGAGGCCCACUGGCCUAAGACUAAGGAAGUGUGCAAACUUCAUGACGAGUGCCUCCAGGCCAAGAAGGAGGAGAUCAUCAAGAUGUUGUCCAAGGAGGAAGAGACCGAGAGAUAA